rnacentral:rRNA from 1 species
UUGUUGCGGUUAAAAAGCUCGUAGUUGGAUUUCUGUUGAGGAUGACCGGUCCGCUCUUUGAGCGCGUAUCUGGUUCAGCCUUGGCAUCCUCUUGGGGAACGCUACUGCGCUUGAUUGCAUGGGGCGGUAUUCAAGACUUUUACUUUGAGGAAAUUAGAGUGUUCACUGCAAGCGUUAGCAAUUGAAUACAUUAGCAUGGAAUAAUAAUAUAGGACCUUGGUACUAUUUUGUUGGUUUCUAGAACUAAGGUAAUGAUUAAUAGGGACAAUUGGGGGCAUUCGUAUUAACGCGUCAGAGGUGGAAUUCUUAGAUUGCGUUACGACGAACUACUGCGAAAGCAUUUGCCAAGGAUGUUUUCAUUGAUCAAGAACGAAAGUAUGGGGAUCGAAGACGCUUAAAUACCGUCGUAGUCUAUACCAUAAACUAUGCCAACUAGAGAUUGGAGGU